AUUGAACGCUGGCGGCACGCCUAACACAUGCAAGUCGAGCGGCAGCGCGAUAUGUAGCAAUACAUAUUGGCGGCGAGCGGCGGACGGGUGAGGAACACGUAGGAACCUACCCUCGAGUGGGGGAUAACCAAGGGAAACUUUGGCUAAUACCGCAUGAACUCGAGAGAGCAAAGCUGCCGCAAGGUGGCGCUCGAGGAGGGGCCUGCGUCCGAUUAGCUAGUUGGUGAGGUAAGAGCUCACCAAGGCGAUGAUCGGUAACUGGUCUGAGAGGACGACCAGUCACACUGGGACUGAGACACGGCCCAGACGCCUACGGGAGGCAGCAGUGGGGAAUAUUGGACAAUGGGGGCAACCCUGAUCCAGCGAUGCCGCGUGAGUGAAGAAGGCCUUCGGGUCGUAAAGCUCUUUAGGUUGGGAAGAAGGGUGAUGGAGGAAAUGCUAUCACUUUGACGGUACCGACAGAAUAAGCACCGGCAAACUCUGUGCCAGCCGCCGCGGUAAAAC
rnacentral:rRNA from 1 species